CAAAUAUCAGAUGAUGAACUGAUAUUGUACAUCCUUGGAGGACUUGGUCAUGACUAUGAUUCUGUUGUAGUUAAUCUAACUUCACGACAUG
rnacentral:sRNA from 1 species